rnacentral:rRNA from 1 species
AGUGAACGCUGGCGGCGUGCUUAACACAUGCAAGUCGAACGAGAACGGAUUAUAGCUUGCUAUAAUUGUCAGCUAAGUGGCGCACGGGUGAGUAAUGUAUAGAUAACCUGCCCUUAAGAAAGGAAUAACAGUUGGAAACGACUGCUAAUGCCCUAUAUGCCUUUAAUACAUAAGUAUACAAGGGAAACGCUUUAGUGCUUAAGGAUGGGUCUGUAUGGUAUCAGCUUGUUGGUGAGGUAAUGGCUCACCAAGGCUAUGACGCCUAACUGGUUUGAGAGGAUGAUCAGUCACACUGGAACUGAGACACGGUCCAGACUCCUACGGGAGGCAGCAGUGGGGAAUAUUGCACAAUGGACGAAAGUCUGAUGCAGCAACGCCGCGUGGAGGAUGACACAUUUCGGUGCGUAAACUCCUUUUAUAUAGGAAGAUAAUGACGGUACUAUAUGAAUAAGCACCGGCUAACUCCGUGCCAGCAGCCGCGGUAAUACGGAGGGUGCAAGCGUUACUCGGAAUCACUGGGCGUAAAGAGCGUGUAGGCGGGUAUAUAAGUCAGAAGUGAAAUCCAAUAGCUCAACUAUUGAACUGCUUUUGAAACUGUAUACCUAGAAUGUGGGAGAGGUAGAUGGAAUUUCUGGUGUAGGGGUAAAAUCCGUAGAGAUCAGAAGGAAUACCGAUUGCGAAGGCGAUCUACUGGAACAUUAUUGACGCUGAGACGCGAAAGCGUGGGGAGCAAACA